ensembl:lncRNA
CUUGGGCUUCCUCCAAAGACUUAUGCUUUAUAAGCACCAUGACAGGCCAGAGCAUACUGGUCCUGGCAUGAAGCACCUGGGAGGUGCUGUUUAUGUAUAUUGCAGAAGGCGUCAUGAGUUACCAGUUGUCAAGGGAGGGUGUGUAUCCCUUUCUGGCCCUGUCGCAGUUUUUUUUUGAGUAACUGGCCAGAGUCACACAGAGAAUCACUUGGUCAACUUGGUCAAUUAAAUUGCCUCCCCUCCAAAGAAAGUUUCACCCCUAAAACCAAACACCCAUCAAGAAAGGCAGAACAAUACAGACCAGUCAGAGUAGUCUCAAAAGCAAUGCGCCACAUAGCUCACCAAGAUAGCCAGGUUAUGUUUCAGAUAAAAUGUCUGAUAAAACCUCACUGAGCUCUGUGACCUUUUGUUUGCUUAUUAGCAAAGCUCGUAUUUAUCCUAAAAUCUUGAAGCACAGCUAAAGCACUUUUUUUUUUGGUACCGGGGAUCGAACUCGGGUCCUUGUGCUUGUAAGGCAGGCAUGGUGCCACUGAGCUAAAUCCCUGGCCCUAGCUAAAGCAUUUUUAAUGCUUUUGUAAACGUGAAGAUUGUUGUAAUGAAAAAUAUCCUGGAAAGGAAGUUAGGAGGCCUGAGUUUACUUUCACUUUCCUCAAUACCAGUUUACAAAAGUGUGAGGAUAAAUGAGGAUUAACAAAUUCAUUGAAACAUCUGCAUAUGUUGCAGGAUUAAGAAGAAAGUGUUGCUCCAGUAGGUGUAGGAGAAUUACUUGUUGACUAGUUCAGCAAUUCCCUGAAUAAUGAUGUUUCUCUUCAUUCAAGAUGAGGCAGUAGUCAUUUCAUUUCCAUUUGCUUGCCUGUGCUGGGAGAAAGUUGGCCAGAGAUUGCAAUUUGGAGAGUAGCGGAAGAAGGACCAUAAACAGAGAUGAAAAAGUUUAAUGCAGGAAAUAUCAGAUUGCCCUAUGUGAUGUGGUAACUUCCACCAGCAGCUUUUGUGAGAUAGCCAUAAUAGAUGAAGAAGGCAACAGGCACAUUCCUAGAGAUACUGGGUUAAACAUGCAGAAUUGAAAAUCAGAGAUGAAUGAGAAUCUAUGAACAUUAGUUCUUGGCCUUGAGUUUAUAAUUUUUAUUUUAUUUUUUUGUUAUCAGGGAUCAAACUCAGGACCUUGUACUUGCCAGGCAGGCACAGUACCACUGAGCUACAUCCCCGGCCCCUUGAGUUUAUAAUUUUUAAAAAUUGUGUAAGAAAGACAAUAUCUACUAGCCAAGUUCAAUGAGUAAACAGCAGGAUAAAAACAAUGAACUAGAAUAAUUAACCUGGUCAUGUUUAUUAUUUUCCCAGAUGAUCCUAUGGGGCUGAGACAAGAUAAGUAGAAGAGUGUUGGCGAGUUUUUUCUUGGCUGAAUAUAAGAAUAACCUGGGCACUUAGAACAUGCCUGUGCCAGGGCCCAACUUGCCAUGGUUUCCUUGCUGUGUGCUGAAACCCAGAUGUUUGCUCUUCCACCCUUGUCCCAGUGAUUCUGAUGUGCUGAGAGAGAUUCAGUGGGUAAUGAAAGGAGAAAGGAAGAGAGAAGGUGGCUGGUGCUCUACAGGGCAGAAUGUGUGUUGUGAGAUGCAGCUUGUGGGUAAUAGUGAGUCGGCCUCCAGCUUUCAGACAGGACUUGCUUGGUUUCCCCUAAUAACACUGGACAUGAUAUUUACAAUGGGAGGGACAGGUUGUGGCCAGGAAACAGAAGGACAUCACCGGCUUCUGGGUGCAUAACAUUUACAAGCCCCUAAACUCCUUG